rnacentral:rRNA from 1 species
GACGAACGCUGGCGGCGUGCUUAACACAUGCAAGUCGAACGGAAAGGCCCUGCUUUUGUGGGGUGCUCGAGUGGCGAACGGGUGAGUAACACGUGAGUAACCUGCCCUUGACUUUGGGAUAACUUCAGGAAACUGGGGCUAAUACCGGAUAGGAGCUCCUGCUUCAUGGUGGGGGUUGGAAAGUUUCGGCGGUUGGGGAUGGACUCGCGGCUUAUCAGCUUGUUGGUGGGGUAGUGGCUUACCAAGGCUUUGACGGGUAGCCGGCCUGAGAGGGUGACCGGCCACAUUGGGACUGAGAUACGGCCCAGACUACUACGGGAGGCAGCAGUGGGGAAUAUUGCACAAUGGGCGGAAGCCUGAUGCAGCAACGCCGUGUGCGGGAUGACGGCCUUCGGGUUGUAAACCGCUUUCGCCUGUGACGAAGCGUGAGUGACGGUAAUGGGUAAAGAAGCACCGGCUAACUACGUG